AAAAUGACCAAAUUACCCU
rnacentral:snRNA from 1 species